rnacentral:lncRNA from 1 species
GGAAAUUUGAAGAAUAGCAAAGUUCUGCCUGAAGCAAAGAUGGUGAUUCAGCUGGAAGAGUAUUUUCUGAGGAAUCAACGCCCCAGCUUAGUUACCUGGCAGAUCUGGUGCAGCUACCAUGAGAAGUCCUACUGGUGCACCUGGACUGAGUGAGAUGCUUAAAUUCACAAGGAGGACCCACUACCAAUGGCUGCCUUUCUGCCAAAGGGCCCUGCUCUCUGUACAGGCUCUUAAUCUUGGCAUUCCUGUGGCUUCUCUAAAUGCUUCUCCAAAAUGUUGGACCAUUUCCAAGAAAAAGUCUCCAUUCUUCCCCAGCCCUGGCACAGUACAGCAGCUCCAUUCCUUCCUACUCUAUGUAUGACAGUCUGGUCUCUGAUGUUUUUUCAGUGAAUUAACUCCAAGAAUUUAAAAGAAAGAACAUUUCAAUAUGUUUUUCUGACAGGCCCUCCCAUGUCUGAACCUUCCCAGGCUGAAGGACUACAAGGCAUCUUCAUUGAUAUAAACUGCCGUCAUGAAAGAGGAGCAGCGAGUUGAGACCUUAAGCUGUUUUGUCAGAUUGUACUUUGGUAAUGGAUCUGUGGGUCUGCCGAUAUGUUACCCAAAGGUGUCUUUUCAAAACAGUCAGUCAUGUUUCUUCUUACCUAAUUAUAGGGGCAUCUGUUUCAAAAUGCAACUAAUCCCUCCAGGUUUUGUGGGCUGAGGAAAGGGGCGGAAGGGGUCAGUUGGAACUUGUGCUCUUAUCCCUCUUGCAAGAUUAUUCCCUAAUAUUCACAAAAGUAUUUAGAGCAUUGACAAGUAUUUGCCCUGACAAGCCCGCGGAGAACUCGAUACACUCUUGUCUGCCUCAGAUAAACCGUUCCCUGAAAAAAGACAUCAGCAGAGCAUGGGAAGUUGUUUCACCUUGCUUUGAUUAAAUAUAUAUAUAUAUAAUACAAUUGGUAAUCUCCCUAAAAAUAUUGGCAAUCUAAUGCCUAUGGGAAUGAGCAAUUUCUAUAGUGCUGGUUAAACUGGUCUCAGCACAGAUGGGCACUGUGCAGACUCUUUGCAUGCAACUAUUACGAGCCCUGUAACUCUACUGCUAUACCAAAGCCAGAAUAGU